rnacentral:rRNA from 1 species
UACGGAGGGUGCAAGCGUUAAUCGGAAUUACUGGGCGUAAAGCGCACGCAGGCGGUCUGUCAAGUCGGAUGUGAAAUCCCCGGGCUCAACCUGGGAACUGCAUUCGAAACUGGCAGGCUAGAGUCUUGUAGAGGGGGGUAGAAUUCCAGGUGUAGCGGUGAAAUGCGUAGAGAUCUGGAGGAAUACCGGUGGCGAAGGCGGCCCCCUGGACAAAGACUGACGCUCAAGUGCGAAAGCGUGGGGAGCAAACAGG